rnacentral:rRNA from 1 species
GACGUAGGUGGCGAACGUUAUCCGGAAUUAUUGGGCGUAAAGGAUGCGUAGAUGGUGUAGUAAGUUAUCGGUGGCAAAUCGAGGCUCAACCUCGUGGAAGUCGGUAAUACUGCUAUGCUAGAGGAUAGGAGAGGUUAACGGAACUCCCUGUGGAGCGGUGAAAUGCGUAGAUAUAGGGAAGAACACCAAUAAGGCGAAGGCAGUUAACUAUUCUAUUCCUGACAUUGAGGCAUGGAAAGCGUGGGGAGCGAACAGG